rnacentral:lncRNA from 1 species
GUGUCACAGAAAAGCGAACACCCUCCCAGUUGAAGGUGGCCCCAAAGAUGCGGGCCUGGGACCCAGGACUUCUGCAGGAGAGUGGACGCCUGGGUGCCCCCCGCCUUGCCCUGCACAUGAAUAACAGAGUACACCAGUCAUCAUAAGAAGAAAAAUUCACAUUUAAAGUUUGGAAAGCAACAGGACAAAGGUCUGUCUUCAGUGGUGCGUAGACAUGCUCGUGAUUGAAUUGGAAAUAGUUCUCUUUCCUUCUCUCUGACUUCCUAACUGAAAAGCUGCAGCGUGGGGAGAAAGGCUGCUCAGAAGCCUGGAGCCAGAACACGCACCCCGGCUUUUGCAGGGCCGGCUCACUUGGUUAGAAUCAAAGGAAAAGCCUUGUUAUUUGGGAAGCUGGGCGUCCUCACCAAAUUAGGGGAUUUAAUUUGCAGAUAUCUAAGGAGUGCUUUGAAAUGAAAGAUGAACUAAAAUCUGCUCUGAGGCCCGUGAUUUUUCACCAGUGAAGGACUCUCUUGCUGCUGGACAUACAUGAAAAGCAUCAUCUGAUCUGAAACGCAAGUCCCUGCAAGACAGAGGAGAGACUUUAUAAACAUUUUAUACCAUUCUAUGAAAUCAAUUCGAUUCAGGGCUAGAAUUCAAGAAGUAAUCCAUGGGCAAGUAUAUCUGAUGGUAAACCCAAACGAUUAUAUUGUUAACCUCUUGUACUUUUUUUAAUUUUUUAUUAUUUGAUAUUAUUAUCACAAAAGUCGCUGGAACAGGAUCCAUGAGCUGCUUCUUCACUGCUUAGUGUUUUCAGAAGCUGAUGGAUUAUUAAGCUCCAAUUGAAUACUUGAUUUCCAAUGAUUCCAUUAAUUUUUCUGGUUUGUGGUAGGAUUUGAUUUACUUAUUUUGUACUUUAACACACCAAUAAAAAAUAGAUACUAAGAAAUAGUGAAAUUUGUUGCUUCAAAAUAACCCUUAAAAUUUAGAGUUUAGUGAAAUUAAGCAAUUCAAAUAGAGAAACGAUUAUCCUUCAUUUCCUUAAGGCACAGAAAUUGAGACUAGGUUCAAGAACCUUCAUAUUUUAAAAACUGGAAAAUACUGGCUAAGUGAGGACUGGGCGGUCAUCCUCCACACAUGCUCUGUGUGCUUGGAGCGAAGAGGGGAACGCACUGAAUGAGAUGAACUGGAAGGAGGUGCAGCAGCGAAGGAAAUCCUUCUGUUGGGAGAGUUCACGUGUUUAGGAUAAUCCUUCGAAUAGGACGCAACAGUGAUGUGAGGAGAAGCUUUGGAGCUGAUUUAGAUUGAGACAGUCUAUCACAGGCUGUUUGGUUGCAUCCCUUUGGGGCCAGUCUCAUUUUAGGUCUAAAUAUGCAGGAAUGGGGCUCUGGCUUCCAGAAGUUUCAGGCUGCAAAAGGCUGGGGCCACCAUCUUUACAGAUAAUCCAUUAGUUUGAUUCUCUUGGGGGCCAGGAAGAAAACCAAGAACACUCAAUGGACUAUGGGACUCAAAUAAUCCACAGGAGGCGUUUGUAAAGGGGCAAAACUGUGUGUGCCCAGUAAUUCUUGGAGCUCGCAAUAGAGGUGGAGAAGCAGUGAUGGGCCCCACAGCAGCAGGGGCUUGGGAAUGACGGAAAAGAACAAAAUGAUGGAAGGACAGCUGGAAGAAACAGGGAAGCUUCCUUUUAACUGGAUGCUGGGUCUCAGCCUUGAAUAGUUCCUGGCCUUCGGAGGCCUUUUCUCAGGGAGCAUGGCCUGGGGACUCCCUGCUUGCUCUGCUGAGCUUUCAGGGAAGGAGAAAUGGGCAAGGCCAGAGGCGACCAUCAGGUGCUCCGUAGGCACAGAGGCAGAACUCAAGGUUUAGCUUUACCUUAAGAGGGUGACUGCAAAGUGUGCUCCCUGGACCAGGGGCCUCGGCCUCACCUGGGAGCUUGCUAAAAAUGCAAGUUGCUCUCACCCAGACUGAAUCUAAAAUUCUGGGUACAGCCCAGCAAUCUCUGCUCACACUUUCUCCAGAUGAUUCUGGUGCAAGCUAACCUUUCAAAAGUCCUGGGUCCCAUUCCCAGAGGCUGUGAUUAAGUUGGUCUAGGGCUGUGGCCUAGACCUGGGGAUUUUGGAAGCCCACAGGUGAUUCUGUUGUGCAGCCAUGGUUGGCAGGCUGUUCACGGUGCUGUUCAACAGGUCCUGCUGUGGGAUGGAAAGGGUCUGUAUCUGCACUGGCCAAUGUGGGAGCCAGCCCUGUGGCUAUUGAGCACUUGGCCCCUGGCUAGUGCAACUGAGGAGCUGAAUUUUUCAUUUCAUUUACUUUUAAUUAAGUUUAAAUAGCUAAAUGUGGCUAUUGUCUGCCUUAUUGGAUAGCAGAGUUCUAGAACCACAGAUAAAUGUAAUACUGUCCCUUUAGUUGAUUUAAAAAUCCAAUGCCUCUGUAAUCCUAGCACUUUGGGAGGCCAAGGUGGGCUGAUCACGAGGUCAAGAGAUCGAGACCAUUCUUGCCAACAUGGUGAAACCCCGUCUCUACUAAAAAUACAAAAAUUAGCCGGGCAUGGUGGCAGGCACCUGUAAUCCCAGCUACUCGGGAGGCUGAGGCAGGAGAAUCACUUGAACCCACGAGGCGGAGCUUGCAGUGAGCCAAGAUUGCACCACUGCACUCCAGCCUGGUGACAGACGGAGAUUCUGUCUCAAAAAAAAAUGCCUCACAGAGUUAAAUAUUUAAGUUGAUAAGAAAAAUGGUAGUCGAGUCUUUGAGGAUUAUUUUAAAAUCCACUUUUGGUGAUAAAUAGAUAAAAACAGUGUGGUAGGGCCCAGAAGUUCUUCCUGAUUUCUACCUGUUGGAGCUGAAUUCCUCAAUUUUACUUGUAGGAGAACGGCUUCCUAAAGGGCACCUUACCCAGCCAUUCCUGCAUGCAAGUGUGUAUGAGAACUGCAGGGGGCAUUAUAUGAAAAUCCAAUUCCUGGGCUCUAUCCCAGAUGUUCCUAUCCAAUAGGUCUGGGUUGGGGCCCUGGAAACUGCAUUUUUGGCAAACCCCUUACUGAUUUGGAUGCACAAGUUUCAAGGAACAGGCACUAAGGAUCGCUGAUGUAGAAUCUGUUUGUCCAUCCAGGAAAGCCAGAGUCACCACACUUGAGUAAAUGGGUUUUGAUGUAGGAAAGGUCUUUAUAAUUCUUUCAUGAAUUCACCAAACUUUAAAAACUGUACUAUUUUUGGCUGGGCUUGGUGGCUCACGCCUGUAAUCUCAGCACUUUGGGGGCCAAGGCGGGUGGAUCAUGAGGUCAGGAGAUCGAGACCAUCC